ACAGGCGGCUGUGUACUGCCCCUCUGAGGAUGUAACAAUAAUACAUUACUUCAGGGAGGAAUUCAAAACCCCCCUGCUUUACGUUCAUCCAGGUCCACAAUCACAUAUGGGAUGCAGGCCAGCUCAACACAGCUUGGUAACUGCCACCUCCUCAGUGGCUACUCAGUGACUAAUGGACUGGUUGCUAAAAUUGAAGUACUCUGAAACCUCCUGCGAAUGAAAGAUGAUGAUUCACAUCCGCUUGUGAAGAGAUGAGUGCAGGAUGUGUGCUGGUCUGUAUGGAGAUGUAAAGAUCCACACUGUGCUGCGAGCUGACCUUCCCUCAGGAGUUUCCUGGCACACUCUAGCUCUUGGCAGACGCAGGCCGUAUAGAGCGCUGUGCCCAGGUGAGGAAUGUCCAUGUCCACAUCUGCCCCCCAAGUCACCAGAGCCUCGACACAACCGUAAUGACCUGGAAGUAAUGGACCAUGAAGGCAGUAAUCACUUCGUGGAUUGGUGAUGGCUGGAAUACAAGGCUCUGGGGUUUUGCUCCAUUUUCCAAAAGAACCUCAGUGCAUGCCACACUGCCCACUGUACAGGCGUUGAACAGAGGGGUGACUCCAUCAAUUGUAGAAGCAUUGACCUGUAAACACAUUUCCUUAAAUUGUUAUUUUUGGGCCUUGUUUAACCAUGCAAGUUGACUAAUAGCAACAGCCUGAGGUGACAGUUGAAGGGGAACAACAACUUAAUAGCUCUACAGUGACUGUAAAAAAAAGAGCAGUGCAUUGCUCAUUUGUUACUUCUGCCCAGAGUUCCCCAGCCAUUGAAAUGACAUUUGACCUGUGCAGCAUAGCAACAUUAAAGGCCAAUAUGUGACUUACAUUUGCUCCUGCAUCAAUGAGAGCUCUGGCGCAAGCGACAUGGUCUCCAGCACAGGCCUCAUGAAGGGGUGUCACAUGGUCUAUAGUCAGAACAUUCACACUGUGACCCUGGAACCCAAAUCAAACAGCCACACAUAUGUAUCUGUUAUAUGGUGCAGGAAGCAAUACAUGACCUCUGUCAACCUCUAUUGGUGAACGCGUGGAAUUGCAAGAACAUCAACAAAGCUUAUCUUUUUAAAAACAAACCCAUCCUUCUCGGUUAUGAUUGUCCGUAACUGACAAACUAUACUAUAUAGUCACAGUGGAACAAUAGAGAUCAAGGAGCUUGUUAUUUAAAGAUCUGAAGAAGAGCUUUUAUAUCACUAUGUCAAAUACUGUCAUGAUGCCACUGCUUUGCUAUGAGCUUGUCUGAGUGAAGAUCAAGGCAUUGUUGUAAGCAACGAAAAAUGCAAAUGUGGGAGGAUAUGCUACCUGUCUACCAUUUAUUAGUAUGUGGCAUUAAUUAACAACUCUGUCAACCCCCUCAGACACUGUAUAUGCUGGUUGUUAUGUAUUUUAUUGUAUAUUUUAUAAUGUAUUUACUUCAAAAACGUGUUUAAUGUCAAAGACGGCAGGACAUGGUAUUUUAAGCUUACACAAACAUGACAGCUCUAAAUCUGACAUCUACCUGAAAGACAAGAUUUAUUAUUCAUGGCCAGAUGUGACUGUCUAUGUUUCAUGUUUUUUUGUUUAGCCACUUACCUAUUACAACUUGCAACCUGUACAACAGAAGAAUCGCAAGCAACCAAUAUUGGCAAAUAGGAAGCUUUUACAACAAAUAUCAAUCAAGUCUCAUCUUUUAUUAUAAGUCUAUACAAUAUGUCAGGUUAGCCUAUUAUGUCGCACAAUAAUCCCCAUAAAAGAGGGAGAUAUUCUCAUAUCAUGUCGAAGCCUUUACUGGCCUGUUGGAAUGCUAAAAAUAACUAACUAAUGGUUGAGGAGAUGGAUGAACUUCAAACAUAUGUGUUCAAAGGCACCAGUUAGAUAACUUCAGUAUGUGUAUCCCAGAUAACCAUAGUUUGUCUAAACCUUUUCCCCCUUAAAAUCUAAAUCAAGAGUAUACCAGUCAUUAAUACAAAUUGAACUGCAAAGGGGAUAGUUACAAUAGACCCUGUUUGUCCAAAUAAGGGGAUACAUUCAACAUUGUGUUCUCUUCACCUGCAAAAGGAGAGUCUUUAAAGCCAGGAGGCGACCAUGGCAAGCAGCAUCAUGGAGGGGUGAGCGGUCCGCCCAGGAUCCUGCAGUGAGGAUAAAAAUUCUGUGCUUAUUUUAAAUUUACAUUUAUUAUUUUUAGGCAGAUGCUCUUAUAACACGCCGUUUACAAUAAUGGUAGCAGAACAAAUCUCACACCCUGAGGUACUAAUAGCACAGGAAGAUAUUAGUCAGACCUCUACAUGACACUGCACACACACAUAGUCUAUCUUCCCUGGAGUAAUAAUGAAGUACUUAUACAUACUGUAUGUUUAACUUUGAAGGUUGCAGGUUCCGUUGUAAAUUAGUCUUUAUGUUAUGAAUAUAUGGGAUAGAAAUUAAGCGUUACAUAUGCUAGUAAUCAUGCUAGUAUUUCAGUCUUUAUAUUUUACAUAUCUUGAUAUUUUGUCUUGUUUGUUCCUCAUACAAUUCGUUAUUUAUUUAAUCGCAGCAACAAAUCUAAAUUCAUCAAUUUUCCAUCAUCUUUCUAUGUUUAUCAACAUCCUGUUUCACCCUUCAUGUUCCAAGAGUUAAUGCAUGGGUCAGCAUAUUAUAAUGUGACUAAUGAUGCUUAUGAUGCCCUUAAUGCAGUAAACUCGGCACAUUAACACAUUGUCACAUGACACAUUAAUAUAAACCGGGCCAUUUGAUGUAAUUUUAGCAAGAAAAAAAAUAAAGAAGCACAAUGAACAAUGAAGCACACCUGAGUCGAUGUCCAGAAUGACAGCCGAUGCAUUCCACACGUUACUAUCAUCAUUCUGACCUUCAACAAUUUGGAUCAUAAUCCAUAGAUAAUAAUCAACCUAAUGUUUUCUAUUAAAUCCAAGCCCUUUUAUUUAUGCAGCCCGGUUUUUCCUUGACUGACAUUAAUUUGAAACAGGGGUAUGAAAGACCCAGCUCCAGACAUCAAACAGAUUUCUUAGAACAAGGAAGACCAUAUCUGCAGGACCGUGACUAAUACCCUAAGCUUAGCUAAUUAGUAUUCCAUGGAGUGGGUCCACUUUAAAUUAAACGUCCCCUUGAAUGAUAGAUACAGAUUAUGUUGUCGUCGUGUCCCUCUUCCCCAAGAAUGUGCCUUCGAACUGCCUGUCCCCGAGAAUGUGGAGUGUUGUUUUGG